rnacentral:rRNA from 1 species
AGGACGAACGCUGGCGGCGUGCCUAACACAUGCAAGUCGAGCGAUGAAAUCCUUCGGGAUGGAUUAGCGGCGGACGGGUGAGUAACACGUGGGUAACCUGCCUUGUAGAGGGGGAUAGCCUUCCGAAAGGAAGAUUAAUACCGCAUAAUAUCUUUUUUAUCGCAUGGUAGAAAGAUCAAAGGAGUAAUCCGCUACAAGAUGGACCCGCGGCGCAUUAGCUAGUUGGUGAGGUAACGGCUCACCAAGGCGACGAUGCGUAGCCGACCUGAGAGGGUGAUCGGCCACAUUGGAACUGAGACACGGUCCAGACUCCUACGGGAGGCAGCAGUGGGGAAUAUUGCGCAAGUGGGGGAAACCCUGACGCAGCAACGCCGCGUGAAUGAAGAAGGCCUUAGGGUUGUAAAGUUCUGUUUACGGGGACGAUAAUGACGGUACCCGUGGAGGAAGCCACGGCUAACUACGUGCCAGCAGCAGC